GAGGGCCUGAGCCCGGGGUGCUGUGGUGACUGGCGCCGCACGGCGGCAGCCCGCUCCUCCUGGGCCGCCGGGGGGUUUCCCCCGCGGCACGGGGGCGGGGUCCCGGUGUGCUGCGGGGAGCCCUAGCGCCGCGCUGGCUGGAGGGUUGACUUGUGGCAGGGCCGCCCAAGCUGACAGAGUAGGGAGGAGAUGAAAAGCAGCCGCUGGCCUUGCCCCGGGGCGGAUUGAGUGAGAGGCCCCUGGAAGAGUUGGGUUAUAGACGGUGCUUAAUUUGUACUGAAGGAGGUGCCAGGGCUGAAGCAGUGGUUUACUUUCAUAACUGAGAGGGCAACCCAGAGGCGUUGGGGUAUGAGGUGCCUGGGCUACCCCCUGCCACAAACUAAGCAAUGGUUAUAGAAACAACAGGGAAGCCAUUCCUUGGAGGAAGUCAGAUGCAUGCCGUUUUAAUCAAUAAUGGUUAAUAUUAGUACUGUAAAAACCACUUCACAGCAUCCCCAGAGCCUGGGCAGGACUGUGGAAUCAUCAGGCUCUGACUGUCAGCUCAGAUUUGGCCCAAAAUUCAGGUUAAAGGCAAGCUUUUACUAAACACUGUGGUGACAUUUCCCCAAAUUAAAUUAAAACCUCAGUGGGUACACGUGUAUUUAAACAAAGAAUCACCCUUUGCCGUGUUUGAAACCCAGACAUUGCAACUCUAAAAACCUGAAAGUGAAAUGCAAGGCUUGUCUCUCUGGAAACUAGAACCAUAAUAACUAAGUUAUUUGUAAUUCCCACUUUUAGUUAUUUCAGUGCAAGUCUUUGUGUGGACACUCUUCUUUGAACUCAGUGGGGAGGAUAUUCAGCAUCUCAAAGAAAUUCUGCAAGCAGAAGGAUUUACAGAUGAUUGUUAACUGAGGCUUAGGGACUGAGUCUGUGAAGUGAUGAGCACAAGGAGUGUUUCAGUCCAUGGAUGAAGAAUCAGAAACCAGUAGGCAGUAGCUGAGAGUUGGAGCUCUGUGUUUCCAUUUCUGCUCCUGUUUAUAUGCCACAAAUGUCAAAUCAGGGGAAAUAAAUUACAAGGUUUUAAAUUA